GCGCACCAGGCGAGAAAACUUCACACUGUGCGAAAGCACGAUGAGGGAAUCCCAAGUGCUUGCACGUAAGUGUAAGCUGUUUCUCUGUCUAAAACGCAGAGAGAGUGAGGGCUGGGUAAGACGGGUGCCAGCCGCCGCGGUAAUACCUGCAGCUCAAGUGGUGACCGUUAUUAUUGGGCCUAAAACGUCCGUAGCCGGUUUAAUAAAUGCCUGGGUAAAUUGUGUAGCUUAACUAUACGAAUUCCGGGUAGACUGUUAAACUUGAGACCGGGAGAAGUUAGAGGUACUCCUGGGGUAGAGGUGAAAUUCUGUAAUCCUAGGGGGACCACCAGUGGCGAAGGCGUCUAACUAGAACGGGUCUGACGGUGAGGGACGAAGCCCUGGGGCGCAAACGGGAUUAGAUACCGUGUAGU
rnacentral:rRNA from 1 species